UUUUACAAUUCUUCAUCCCUCCUGCUCUUCCUUGUUUCCCUAUAAUGGAUUUUGAUUUAUUUGAUGAUGGGAUCAGACUUCUGUCCUCUGUAUCAUCAGGAACCUUUACAAGUUUUCUGCUAAGGGAAGGGAUAGCAAGAUUUGCAUUAUGGGGCUUUUUUGUUAUCUUCCCUCCACUGCAACUGAGAUUUGAGAAACCAUGCAUGUGAGUGUCUGUCUGUGUAAGCAACGUGGUGAUGAUCACUUUGAUCAGCCCUGGUACCAGCACUGCCAGCCCUUUUCCCACUGCACACAGGAGCACAUCCCAUAAAUCCGGAGUGACUGCAGCCAGCCAUCUGCAAGGGAGCCAACAUUCAGCUGCAACGAGCAGCUCUCAGAGGAAAGGACUGGCAAACCACCCUCCCAUCGAGCCACAAGAGCAGAGGAGAAGGAGGACAGAGCAUCACAGGGUAUCAGGAACCAGGGCCAAAAGAACUAAAGAUGUGGUGGCUCCUUGCCCACAGUAAGAAGUUCU